UAAAAAAAAGCCCAAACAUCUAACCCUAUCUCUCCACCUCACCACCAUCCAACUGCCCGGAGGACAUGACGCGCCGGCGCGCCGCCACUCGCUAGUCUGCGCUCCGCUGCCGGCCCGCCCGAGGAGACGACGCGCCGGCUGCCUCCGCCCUCCAGCCUCCAGCAGUCUACCCUUCGGCCGCGGCGCAGGCGCGCACGGCGCCGUCGGCGCCUUGGCGGCUCGGGCGCUCGGCGCAUCCGGCAUCCCCCCGCGGCGCCCGCCUCCAUGCUCCAGCCGCCGCCGCCCGCCGGUGCGGCGCCGCGGUGACGAGUUGCCGCCUGGCGCCUGCCUGCCUGCCUACGCUCCACCGAGGCACCGACCACGGCAGCCUGCUAGCCCGCAGUCGCAGGGGCGCAGGGCCCCGCGCCGCGUCGCCGCCACCGGCCACCGACCUGCCGCUGCCGUCGACGACGAGGUGACGAAGUCGAUACCUCACUGAGACAAUGACUCACUAACUCUUCCCUAGUUGGCUAGUUCCCUUCAUCACUUCAUGGCUAAUUGGUACGAAGUAGGAACUUUGGAUUAGGAAUUUAUGAUUUAAUUCAUACUUGAAUGACUGAAUGUCUGAAUCUAGCAUGGAUUGUUCAUGGUUGAACAUUUUUUAUUUAAAAUUUGAAUAUAGGAAUGAUUUAUGGUUAAUAUAGUAUAUAGUAUCAACUACUAUAUUAGUGAUGUAAGGAUGAGAAUUUCACAAAUUUGAUAUGUUUUGUCUAUUAAUAGUUUAGUAUUAUACUCUAAUAUGCUUAACACAUUCAAUUUAUGAUCAAUUCUAUCCCUGCAUCUAUGACUUUAUGAAAUCAUGUUCAUACCGUUAUAUAUUAUACAAACUUUGGGUUGAAAAUUUUUUUCUUCCUCUUCUAAUUUCGAAUACCCAAGUUGAAAAUCCUGGGCCCGCCCCUUCUGCCGAUGACGAACACCCCGCCGUGCAGCGGCGAGCGCAGGAUGGAGAGGCACACGGCGCCAUCGCUCCUCUUGUACGAGUAGUGCUCCGGCGCCAGCUUCAUGGCGGCGUCCUUGCCGGCGAACACCAGCGUGAUCGCCGGGAGCUCGGUGUCCUUCGUGUAGCACAGUACGGAUGAGCCCUUGUCUGCUAGCGGCGGCAGCUGCUUCUUGAGGUGGUCGAAGAGCACCGGGUUGAGGAACGUGUAAAGGGUGGAAACGGUGGUCAUGAUCGCGGCGGCCUUGUCGCUGACGAUCUCGCCGCUGGCGACCUUGAUGCCGGUGAUGGCGACGAAGUAGAGGUUGGGGUCAAUGUUCGGCGCCUUGUCGACGCCGACGGGGAUGAGCGGGGUGCUGGUGCUCGCGCUGGCGCCGCAACCGCGUCGUCGUCGCCGAGCCAUGCGAAGCUCCUGAGAUCGCCGUCGAUGAAGUAGGCGAACCUCCGGAACGACGCGGCGAGGACGCUGCGCCUGCCGAGGCCGACAACGGCGGCGUCCUUGCGGGAGGAGGAGGCGGAGGCAGAGGAGCACAUGUACACCACAGUGUCUAUUCCCCUGCUUGAUCAGUCUCUCUUCUCACCGACACUCGAAGACUAUUGACGAUUGAGUUUUAAGACUUUGAUCACCAUGCUUAGGCAGCUUAGCUUAAAACAUUAAUUGAAUAUAUAUAUAUUGGUCAGGGUUUUCUUCGACAUGGUUUUAAAGAUGGACUAGUGGGUCACUUAAUAUACGUGGAAAAUUGAUGAGGACCCAACUAGUUCGGAUAUAACCAUGACUACCUUAUGUAUUGAUCAACCAAAGAUGCAUAUGUUCUAUAUUAGAUUUACUUGUUAUAUAUUUGAACUAACGUUGUUACACAAUGAGUUUGACGUGUUUUCGUUUGUAGACGUACUUUGAUUGUGCGAAAGAAAAGAGAAGCGUAAAGAAUGCAUGGAUGAUUAAAGAAGUUGAUUGGGGACCAAACCAAGACCUUCUCCAAGUCCACUUCCAUUUCACCACGUCACUUUUGAUCCAUAGAAGAUAAGAGAUCAAGUUUUACACAUUUUGGAUUCGGAUUCGGGCCUCUAGACAGCAUCAACUUCAAACGGACCGAGCUGCUAAUCUAGAAGGAAUUUCGGGGCCUAUGAGUACUUGUUGGAAAGCUUAUGGAGUCUACUUUCAAAUGGUUUUGGACCCACGUCAAAAUUUUUAUCGAGCUGUCGGGAAUCUGCAAAAUAAGUCACGUAUCUCAUCCAGUCCGAAUUUGAUUUGAGUUUUGGGUCUUGUAAUUGUGUCGCGGGGUUAGCCCAAGAGGGUAUGCACCCUAGGGCAACCCUAGAACGUCCCUAAUCAUAUUUAUUCAGUAGCCGUCAUCGUUGAGAGUCGGGUUUUGCUUAGAUUAAUCUGUCAAGAACCGUUUCACCGCCAGAUCGGUUUGUGGAACACCAAAUUUGAGUGCUUAAUCAUUCAUAUGCAAUUUGGUUGCAAUCUAUCUUGUUCUUGCUUGUGUUCUUCGAUUCGCAUGCAGGGAUUAGCCUUCUCGGCGAGGGCAACCAGGUUUCGGCACUGUUGAUAACCAGAGGAGACGUGGUGCUGCGAUUGCGGGGUUCAGUAGCGUGUUCGUUCAGAAGCCGGAUCGAAUUGUGUCGCGACUCCGCCCAAAUCGACUGUUUAUCAAUACAUAUCGGAAGAUCGGGACCUAACAUCCCUCAUCAGUUAGUAUCAUAGCGCGGUUGCCCGUUAGGUAAUUUAUCUACCCAUAACAAGAAAAUUGCCACACAAAAAUAUUGCAUCCAUUACCUAGCCAAUUUGAGCCGUUGCAUUGUUCUAUUAAUUUUUGCGUCGUUGAAUUUUAGAUUGCAUCGUCGUGUCGAGUGCUGGUUUAGUUUCAGAUUUAAUUUUUAGUUGUGAGUAUUGCAUUUGUUCAUCACUUUGGGUUAGUCAUGUCCGUCAAUUUGGGUCCAGUUUUGCAUCUCAUCGGUUGUUGCUGGGACCUUGAAAAAUCGAAUCUACUAAUCAUCAGGUUUCCGUUUUUGUGGUUUGGAGGAGUUUUCUUUGAGCGGUUUCUGUGUUGCCAUGUCGGUUCUGUGUUCGUGCUUUUUGUGCACACGUUGAGGAGAGAAACAGAUUGGCAUAUCGGUUUGUUUUCUAUAGGGGGUUUAUCUGAUCUGUGUCGUCAAACGGAAGAAAAUCUCCACAUAUUUUCCAAUCUUCCACAGUAGUCUGAAUCCAACUCGUCCUUGUCACGGCCGACCCCCACCUCCACCUCACGGGUUUCUUCCAUGCCUCCUCCUCGAUCACCACAUUGUUAGGUAUUUUGGUGGUUGUAGAUUUGAGUUUUUUUUUAAAAAAAAAGGAACCUACAUGCAUGAUGUGAGCAUUCCAUUUUUGAGCUGGUCCAAUUUUAGUUUUGCACUUUGCAUUUGAGUCCCUACAAUAUUUAUAUUUACAUUUGAGUCCCUGGUUGAGGUCAUUGAUUGGUUCCUGCUGAAAAAAGUAAAAAGAAAAAAGAAAAGGUUGAAAGGUGCAAAGAAAAAAAAAAGCCGCACCUAAAAAAAUUAAAAAAAUGCAGAAAGGUGCUUAAAAAAAGCCGCACCAGAAAGAAAAAAAAUCAAUCAUCUUUUGAGUAUGGUUUGAGAGUGCAGAGUUGUGCAUUGAUUCAUAUAUAGUCCUUAAUGUUGUCGGGUGCUUGCUUGAGCUAGAGUUGAGUCUAGGUUAGGCCAGCACAUUGACUAGUACUUUGAACUAUUAUUCAACUUUGAAUUUUCUGAUUAACACAAUUGCGUUCUUUUGCUACUAUAUAUUGUGCCUCCCAAGCUCCACAUAUAUACUUCUGGUCAGCACCACUUUGAUCCUUGCAAUCGCUACAUCAAGUUCUUCAAGGUGUCACGAACCAGCCACCAGUUGUACCGUCCUUAGCAUUGCUGGUAUGAGUGGCACUCAAAAUCAGCAACACCAACAAGAGAAGAAAUUGCUAGGGCGUGAUCAACAAAGUCAAGAACAAGGCGAGCACGUACAUGCCGCGGGCGAAGCCAUCUUUGGGGCUGCCCAAGCCCAUCUCUUUCCGGACACCCCCACCAGCAAGCAAGCGACCAGUUGCGUCCGGAGUUUCUGCAGCGCCAAAACCACCUCCCCCCACGACUUUUAGAUUCAGGUAAAGGUUCUUCGCAAGUACCCACCAAGAGUGCCUCGUCCGUCGCUUUGACGGGAUGCACGCCCAGCAUUCAGUGCCACCGCUGCCAUGGAUUUGGCCAUGUGCAGAAGGAUUGCCCUAGUCAACGGGCAUACAUUGCUAUGGAAGAUGGCUACAUCAGCAUCUUCGACGUUGAAGAUGAUGAGGAGGAAGAGAGGAAAAAUGGAGAGAAAGACCUAUCCAUAGCUAUAUGCAUGCUUGAGGAAUGUUUAAUUGACCAAGCGCCUAUAAUUUCUGAAGAUGAGAAAGAAGGUAAUGAUAAUGGUGCUACAACUACUCAAGGUAUGCAUAGUUAUGAUGUGCCAACUAUAUCCACUACUUAUGCUACGUUAGAGAAACCCAUGGUGGAAACAAUUGUUGAAAUACCUUUGUCACAAAACAAUUUGCUUGAUUUUUUUGAUAAAGAAUAGUUAUGCGAUGCUUCACUUAUAUCUAUGCCAUAACUAGUGAAUGAGCAUGUUAGUUCUAUAGUAGAGCCACCAUGUGUUGAAUUUAAACAUGUUAUUCAUAUUCUAGCGAGAAUGAAGAGCUUAAAUUGCUAUCUUCUUUAAAUACUUGGGGAUAUAUUCAAUUUAAUGAUCUUUGUCCACUCAAUUGUUUAGAGAAGAAAUUAUUUGCUAGAUUUGAAUUGCCAUGUCCUUCUGAUGUGAUUUUUUAUGUUAUUGGCAAUUAUGAUAGUAAAGGAGAAUAUAAUAUGUAUCGAGUAUAUAUUUGUUUGAAUUUGACUAUACCUCAUUUUCAUGAUGAAAUGUAUUGUCUAGAGGACCGCAUGCAUAUAAGUAAUUCUUUAUCUAUUUCCUCUAGUUGUUUAAAUGAGUUACAUGUUGGUUUGCAAGAAUGUGAGAGUUGCGGUUUUUUUACUACAAAGAUUUUAGGAUCCAACCAUAUGGACAUCAAGAAAUGUUCUUUACCGGAUGUUGUGAUAGAUAAAGAUAAGUUCAAUACGCUCCAUGACAAGGUGAAACCGAGGACAGUUUCCAAUCAAGAAGGGGAGGAUGAUGAGGACACAACUAGCUCGGAUAUAACCAUGACUACCUUAUGUAUUGAUCAACCAAAGGUGCAUAUGUUCUAUAUUAGAUUUACUUGUUAUAUAUUUGAACAAAUGU